rnacentral:lncRNA from 1 species
UUAUUGCAAUUUUUUCUUAUUUUUUUGUAUUUUUUUCUUCAGUUUUAAAUGAUUGAAUAAUUUCUUUUCAGAUUUUAGAAACAAGACAUCAUACUCCGGGCCCUUCAUUCGCACCAACUCUGUCCGUGACCGGAUGCUGAAGUUCACCGAACCAGUCUCAAGCGCACCUAGAAGCGCUCAUAGUUUCUCUCAUUCUACAAACACAGUGUCAGCAGACGAGUCCCGGGACACCCUGUCCUGUUCCUCCUCCAUCCCAAAGAAAGGGAGAAAUGUCAGCGAGAGCAUGAUGUCAGCCCAGCCUAAACUGCUCUCCAGCCAAUCACGCGCAGCAGUGGGCGGCUCAGAGACUCGCAGUCAAAAUGUCAGGAGUGCAUGUGGCUUUUCAGAAGAAGUGCAGACUCCUGAGGGAGAAUCAUCUGCAGGAGCCCACCACUCCAGCAUGAAAACCUUCCUCAGCAUCGAGAUCAAAGACGGACGAAACCCACCGUCACAUUCUUCACUCUCAUCGUCCUCCACCGCCGUAAACAUGAGUCCUCGAAUCAUCACAGCUGCCGCUCCGCAGAGAACAGAGCUGACUCUUGGUUUAAGAGCGACACCGUUCAAAGUGACCAGCUCGAGUCUCUCAUCCGGAUCCUCUGUGAAGGUGGUAAUGCUGUAAAACCCUCUGUAUUACUGACCAUGCGGGUGGUUUGUUGAAGCGCAGAUCAGCAUGACGUGGAUGAGAGCCGCCGCUCGGGCUCUAAGGGACAUUCACAGAAAUCACCGAGCUCUCAUUCCUGUCUAAAUGUCAGCGAGCUUCCACGGCUUCAGUGUAAACACAGCUGUACUCAUAGAUCAGACUCCGAAACAUUCCCUCCUCCAACCAGCCCCUUUUUCCAUCUGUGAGGCUUUCGCUCGCUCUUUCUUGUCCAUCUCUCCAGCUCUCUUUGCCAGGGCUAUUUUUGGACGGAUAUUUUUAUUGUCCCCGCUCUUAAAUCCUCAUGUCAAUUGUAUCGCCGUCGAUUAUAGCCUGCUUUAGGGAUUAGCUGUUCAGAGUUAUAAAUGUCAUCGCUGAGUUUUUGCUGUCACAGUAGCAGAUCAUACUGUCUGUCAAUCAAUCUGCCGUGUUGCAUCCUAAAGAUAAAUGCAUUUUAAUACAGUAUAAACUAGGGGUGUAACUAUACACUCAGCUCACGAUACAAUGUUUAUCACAAUACCAUGUUCACGAUUCGAUAUGUAUCUCGAUAUUUGG